AUUUUACUGCACAAAGUUCUCUUUUCUUUUCUGAAAAAAGAUUGAAUUUUAGAAAUUUUAGAAAACAUUCAAAAACAUCUUAUUUUUGGUUUUCACAUGCUUGGAAAUAUGGUUUGAAGUGGAGGAUUUUCUGGGUUCCUUUAGCUGGAUUUUCUGGUUUCAAAGCUGUCUUGAUUUGGUUCAAACUUUUGAUCUCUUUGGGUUGCUGUUGCUGUUGUUUGCUUUCUGCCCCUUCAAGCUUCAGCUGAUUUUCUUUGUUCACCUGUUUACUUGCCGGUUUAUUGUUGUUUGUUCAAGGUACUAUGCUUGACCUUUUUCAUGUAAAGCUCUUAUUUGAAAUGAUAUGAAACUGAAACUACUAGAAAUCAUAUGAUAUGUAUUCUCAUGAUUAACUUGUGAUUGUGUUGAUUGGAUUUGAUUAGUUUUCUAUUUCAUGAGCUUUUGAUUUGGUCAUUUUGUUUAAAAGAACCAUGUAGUUUCUCCUUUUAGAAGUAACUUUGUGUGAAGAUGCCUUUUGGUCACAUGGCUGUAAUCUGCAGAUUUGGUAACCAGUUGGCCCAAAUCAGCUAGAUCUAAGCUAAAGAUAGGAUUUUGCUGGUUAAAGUUUUGCUGAAACUAGUAUUUCUAAUGUGGUGGAUCAGCUUGUGAUGGACAAAUCAUGUCCAAAAGAGGUAAGGAUUGGUUGGGUUGCUGAAAAAUGUAAUACAAUAGUUUACAUAAUAGUUCAUAUGUGUUAAUAGAUCUAACGCAACAUGUUUGAUUUUCUGAAAAAAUUUCCUUCUUUCAUUUGUUAUUUAUUCGGGACUGUAAUAAAUCAGAUUUUAUAUCAUGUUAAGGAUCAAAAUGUUUGCUUGAGGAGUACAUUUUUUUGUCAUUCUAUUAUCACCAUUAUGGUGGAACAUGCCAAGUUAUGAGCCCUACCCGUAAGGAUAAAGGGCUAUACUCUAAUUCAAAUGGGCUGAAGCUAUGAGUAAGCCCAGAUGAAAAAUACCAAAAAAACUGGGCUUCGGCCAUUGGGCCUGAGCUACAAGUCUAAAAAUUCGUCUUUCACCUGUAAAAGGUUCCAUGUAUCAGUUAAAUUGUAAAUAUAGGUUAUUAUUCUUCCUGUAAACCAUGUAAUCAACUGAUGGAUUAGAGCUAUGUUGUAUAUCCUGAUUUCAUUUGAAAGCAUGUUGAUUUUUAAUUGUUAUAGAUGGGUGAGUAGAGGUGGAUAGGUCCAGUUAGGAAACAAAUAGUGACCGGGCCCGCCUCUUACAGGUCCAAUAUGGGCCAGCUUUGUUCAAACAAGAAUUCGGACCAGCAAGAGCCUGCUGAGGCUCUUUUGUUUUUCUUGGGCCAAGUCUUAAGCCCAGAUGCAGCUUUUUGCAAAGCUGAACCCCUCCUAAUUUAAUCGAGUAAUGAAGUCCAAGCCUAAACUCCUUUUUUCAAAAGAAAAAAUUUAAGCUUAGCCCUUUUAAUUAAGUGUAAUUUUUCCUAUAAAAAAAACAAGUUGAGGUGUGCCAUACACAAACAAAACCCAUAACUCAUGGCCCUAAUAAAUUAGAUUAAGAGCUAAUAUUUGCAGUUGCUAUAGUUAAAUACAUUUCCUUUAAAGAGAAAAGGGUUGGAGGUGUGCCAUUCAUAAAUUAGAUCAUCUAUGGCCCUCACAAAUAUUAUAACUUGGAUAUUAAAAAUGAACCUUUGUAGUUGCUUUAGGUGCGCUACAUUAAAUUAUCAUGGCUACAGGUACGGCUCCCGUGACGUAGUUGUGAUUGCUAAAAUCCGGGUGUACAUUUCAUGUGACCCGACUUCAAUUUCAAACAAUAUUAAAUAAAUGUGUCGCGAACCGCAGAUGUAUUUUAUGUAACAUGUUUAAGAUGUGUUUUAAAUAACAUUGAAUUUUCCUAAAAAACAGUAAAAACGGUUAAAAAGUCGUAAAAUGCACAUAGGUUUAAAUGCGUAAUUAAUCAGGUAAUAGGCCAAUAUUAACAGUUUAAGAGACUGUGCUAGAACCACGGAACCCAGGAAUGCCUAACACCUUCUCCCAGGUUAACAGAAUUUCUGAUUUGCAGACUUUAAAAAAUAAAAAUUUCCUCUAUUUGGGAUUUUAAAAAUAGACCGGUGACUUGGAACACGCAAUAAACUAUUCCAAGUGGCGACUCUGAUAAAUUAAAUAAUUCCAUUUCGAUUUAUGUCACUUUAAUUGGAAAAACUCUCAUAUACCCCGAGUGGUAAAAAAGGAGGUGUGACAGAAAAUAUCAAUGCUAAAACGAUAUUAUUGCUAGGGUAUCCGAUGGAGAAUUCUGAGAACAUCCUCGAAGACCCGUUGCACUCUUUUCCUUCAGCCGGAUUUUGUCCCUAGAAAGGUUUUACCGGCAAGGUUUUUAAUGAGGCAACGGCCAUGCGGCACCUAAAAGAGACUCAACAAAUAUUCGAGAUUUCUUUUACAAUCCACCUCAAAUACUGGGCCCCCCCAGAAGGUCAUCUACUCGGGAAAGCUAAGGCACCCCAAAUGGGACCCUGAUAGGGAAAGUAAUGUACCGGGCCAAACGGUCGAACGAACCGUGCCCAUAUAUAGCAACUAAGUUUUUAACGACAAAAACAUGUGUACUUGUACCAGAUAAUCAGAGAACAAUUUUCAUCAAAGC
rnacentral:lncRNA from 1 species